ACAUUAUACACUUCAUGGGAGAGGGGUACAUUUGUUAUGAAUGGGGGUUGUUCAUGGAAAUCAAACAAAUAAGAAUAUAUGCCUCAUACAUCAUACAAGUAGGCAACAGUUAAUCAAACAGAUAAGAUAAACAAACAUGUAUAUAAUCAAAUCAAAUAAUCAAAGAAUGAAAUGAAGGAGUAUUAGACAAUGCAUGAGAAGUAUAAACAUGUU
rnacentral:lncRNA from 1 species